rnacentral:misc_RNA from 1 species
GAGAAACGGCUCGUCCAGUACCCCAUGACUCCGCGGAGGUUUGAUGACCGGCGCGCUUGCUCACAGCAUAGGGUUGGCGGCUGUUCUUAGAAAUGUUGGCGUGGACGAAGUUGACGAUAUCAGGACGGAUAGAAGCUUUCAUGACAUCGGGCAAUGGCACCGUCGUAGAAGAAUCGGUGGCCAUGUCGCCUUCGAGAGUCUGGACGGCGACCAAAGGGCGAGCGGCGGCUGCGGCCAUUUUGGGGCGAGUGAAUGUGGAGAAACUAGGGUUUUU